rnacentral:lncRNA from 1 species
AAACUAUAUCAAGAUGCAUGGAAUAAAGAUAAAACCAACAUCACCAUUCCUUCUGACAUGCCAGGCAUGCUGCAGGCCCCUAUAAAUGCCCUGCAAAUCAGCAAUAUAAGAGGCAUAAAUACGAAUUGAAAAUACCUUCAUAGGAUAAUAUAUGUCAGCUUUGGGAGUGUGGUAUAAUGAAAUGGACAAAUUACCUAUCUUAGAAAUGUGUACAGCUUUUGGUGCUAAACAUUUUUUCUUUAGCUUUCUAUUCCUAAUGCAGUAUGAAUGAAAUUCUCCCUUUUAAAUGUUAGUUUAAAUACAUGGCUGGGUCCCAGGACUACAAAGAGUUGGGAUAUCUGUAUUCUAUCGGUGUCUUCCUUUCAAUCUUGAAAGCAUUGUUCGAUAUCCAAUGUUCACAGCUCAGUUUCAUCAUAUAUUAAUAGAGAAUAUUGAAAUACCUAGUUGAAUUUCUCUUACUUGAGGGAGUAUGAGGUGACAGUCUCCUUUAUCUUUAUAAAUUUUUGAUUGAUCCAGAGCAUUCUUGUUUGAUAUUACAAAGCCAUUAGCUUUGUGUCUUAUUUUCCACAUCAGAAAGUUAAAAGAUUUUAAAUUAUUAAGAUCAUAUCUAAACGAUAACAUAUCUAUGUCAUGUCCCUUGAGCAGGGACCUCUGAAAAGUCAAAAGGCAACAUUAGGAAAAAAAAUAUCUUACCGGACCUUACAUGAGACCUUGAUGAAGCUUUUCUAGCUUCACAGUUGAUUCUUAGUUUCCAUGUUUUGCGUGUUGCGGUAUUUUCAGAUGUGUACCAUAUUGUGAUGAAGACAAGCAUUCAAACAUUUACUAGGUCUAGAUGUUUAGCUUUAAAAUCUUAGUCAGAAGUAUCCUGCACUCCAUUAAGGAAAUAGCCAACAACCAGAGGAACUCAGAAAUCCCUGUUUUUCCUUAUCCUGUCUUCAUUCACAUUUUGUCAUAUUCAUAUUUUGAGUACUUGGAGUAUUCACUUAUUUUCAAUGUUUGUAAACAAACCUGAGUUUUCCCUCAACAGAAAUUUUACCAAAAAGACUGGAAUGAGACCAAGCAGAAAGGCUAUGACUUCAAAGCAGAUGCCAUUGAAAUCAAGCAAGCCAAAGACUCCAGAGAUAUUUCCAGUGAGUACAAGUACAAAGAAGGUUAGCAUAAGCAACUGGGCCACCACGUGGGUUUCCGCACCCUACAAGAUGACCCCAAAUUGGUAUGGUCUAUACACACUGCCAAGAUCCAGAGUGACAGAAAAUACAAGAAAGCUUAUGAGAAGUUUGAAAGAAUUCCCAAUACACCAUUGGACAUGA